rnacentral:tRNA from 1 species
GCCCUCGGUGGCUCAGAUGGAUAGAGCGUCUGCCAUGUAAGCAGAAGAUUCCGGGUUCGAGUCCCGGUUGGGGCA